UCAUAGGUGAGUGUUGCGGUGACAUGCGCUGUUGUUUGGAACUAUUUCCGCUGCUGAAACAGAACAAAAACAGUCAUUGCGUCUAAAAAUAGCCCCUUCCACACCUCAGCCGAUCUACACGACAACAUCUAGCACUACAACAUCGAGCACUACAGCUCCACCAGGGCCCACUGAGCGUGAAUGUGUGGACAUCUUUUGCAACUCCAGUACCAAGACUGCUUCCUCUCUGAUCAUCUUGCUGCUUUGCUUUCUUUUGCUGGAGAUUUGAUCAUGACGAAUCCCCAUUAUCACGGCUCUAUGUCUGACUGCACAAGAUUUCAGUGUCUUCAGCCUUAAGUGUGUAUUGUUAAUUAAAGGGGAUGCUCUCAUAUAAUCUACAGUCAAUCAGCUUUAAUCAUAACAGUUACCAAUAUAUCGUCAUUUUGAGAUCUUAUUGUAAUCAUAAUGUGUGUUUCAUGUAUUCUCUCUAGAGGUGUUGAGGUAAACAUUUAAAAAUAUUUGAGUCUUUUCUACGUAUAAAUCACUGCAUGAAUAUUAUCGGUCAAGGUUUGAUUUUAAUAUUGGUGGACAGUUUCAUGUCAUCAACAGCUUGAUGUAACCAACUUGACUCAUAAUUAAUAACACAAUUUUGAUUGUUAAACUACUACUUUGUGUACUUUAUGAUAUAAUAUCUAAAUAAUUAAAGGUGAUGAGGACAUGU